rnacentral:lncRNA from 1 species
CCCGCGAGAUGAGGGUGGAGAGUGAGGGAGUGGAGGUAGUCAGAGAUAGUGUUGUUGUUAGAGCUGGAGAGAAAGGAGGCUGUGAGGGCAUCCAGGGAGAGAGAUUUGUGGUGUUGUUGGGAGAGAGGAGAGACGUGGUGGUGGAGGUGGAGAGAGAAGAGAGAGACGAGGAGGAUGCAGGAGAAGAGAGAGAGGAGAGUGCAUGAGGGUGCUGUCGAUGCGAGAAUGAUGGUUGACGGGAAUGGCUGAGGCAUGGUGGCGUUGGGCGGCGGAGGUGAGGCUGUUUCAGGUGGGGAGUUGAGAGGUUUUAGAAUUUCAG